GACAGAGGGUGCAAACGUUGCUCGGAAUUACUGGGCGUAAAGCGCGUGUAGGCGGACUGGUGUGUCGGAUGUGAAAUCCCCAGGCUCAACCUGGGAACUGCAUUCGAAACUGCCAGCCUUGAGUGGUGGAGAGGGAAGUGGAAUUCCUGGUGUAGAGGUGAAAUUCGUAGAUAUCAGGAGGAACACCAGUGGCGAAGGCGGCCUCUGGACGGUGACUGACGCUGAGGCGCGAAAGCGUGGGGAGCAAACGGG
rnacentral:rRNA from 1 species